rnacentral:rRNA from 1 species
GAUGAACGCUGGCGGCGUGCCUAACACAUGCAAGUCGAGCGAUUCUCUUCGGAGAAGAGCGGCGGACGGGUGAGUAACGCGUGGGUAACCUGCCCUGUACACACGGAUAACAUACCGAAAGGUAUGCUAAUACGAGAUAAUAUACUUUUAUCGCAUGGUAGAAGUAUCAAAGCUUUUGCGGUACAGGAUGGACCCGCGUCUGAUUAGCUAGUUGGUAAGGUAACGGCUUACCAAGGCGACGAUCAGUAGCCGACCUGAGAGGGUGAUCGGCCACAUUGGAACUGAGACACGGUCCAAACUCCUACGGGAGGCAGCAGUGGGGAAUAUUGCACAAUGGGCGAAAGCCUGAUGCAGCAACGCCGCGUGAGCGAUGAAGGCCUUCGGGUCGUAAAGCUCUGUCCUCAAGGAAGAUAAUGACGGUACCCCAAGAAGAAGCCCCGGCUAACUCCGUGCCAGCCGCCGCCGUAACAC